GGAUCGAUGAUGACUCCCUCAUUCUGCAUUCCUUGGAAAAGCUGAACAAAAUGAGUGAGAACUCCCUACCAUCGUUCUCAUCGAAACUGAGGUCC
ensembl:snoRNA SNORD116 Small nucleolar RNA SNORD116